UCCGGUUUGUCACCGGCAGUCUCACUAGAGUGCCCGUUACCGUAGCAACUAGUGACAAGGGUUGCGCUCGUUGCGGGACUUAACCCAACAUCUCACGACACGAGCUGACGACAGCCAUGCAGCACCUGUGCAUGGACUCCGAAGAGGAACCGAUGUUUCCACCGGCUUUCCCAUGCAUGUCAAACCCUGGUAAGGUUCUGCGCGUUGCGUCGAAUUAAACCACAUGCUCCACCGCUUGUGCGGGCCCCCGUCAAUUCCUUUGAGUUUCAAUCUUGCGACCGUACUUCCCAGGUGGGAUACUUAAUGCUUUCGCUCAGACACCAACAGUGUAUCGCUGAUGUCGAGUAUCCAUCGUUUAGGGCGUGGACUAC
rnacentral:misc_RNA from 1 species